rnacentral:rRNA from 1 species
UACGAAGGGGGCUAGCGUUGUUCGGAAUUACUGGGCGUAAAGCGUACGUAGGCGGCUUUGUAAGUUAGAGGUGAAAGCCCGGGGCUCAACUCCGGAAUUGCCUUUAAGACUGCAUCGCUUGAAUCAUGGAGAGGUGAGUGGAAUUCCGAGUGUAGAGGUGAAAUUCGUAGAUAUUCGGAAGAACACCAGUGGCGAAGGCGACUCACUGGACAUGUAUUGACGCUGAGGUACGAAAGCGUGGGGAGCAAACAGG